rnacentral:rRNA from 1 species
GCUUGCUGCGGGUACUCGAGUGGCGAACGGGUGAGUAACCACCUGGGUGAUCUGCCUUGCACUUCGGGAUAAGCUUGGGAAACUGGGUCUAAUACCGGAUAGGACAGCUGUUUAGUGUCAGUUGUGGAAAGUUUUUUCGGUGCAAGAUGAGCUCGCGGCCUAUCAGCUUGUUGGUGGGGUAAUGGCCUACCAAGGCGUCGACGGGUAGCCGGCCUGAGAGGGUGUACGGCCACAUUGGGACUGAGAUACGGCCAGACUCCUACGGGAGGCAGCAGUGGGGAAUAUUGCACAAUGGGCGGAAGCCUGAUGCAGCGACGCCGCGUGGGGGAUGAAGGCCUUCGGGUUGUAAACUCCUUUCGACAGGGACGAAGCGUAAGUGACGGUACCUGUAUAAGAAGCACCGGCUAACUACGUGCCAGCAGCCGCGGUAAUACGUAGGGUGCCGAGCGUUGUCCGGAAUUACUGGGCGUAAAGAGCUCGUAGGUGGUUUGUCGCGUCGUCUGUGAAAUUCCGGGGCUUAACUCCGGGCGUGCAGGCGAUACGGGCUGACUUGAGUGCUGUAGGGGAGACUGGAAUUCCUGGUGUAGCGGUGAAAUGCGCAGAUAUCAGGAGGAACACCGAUGGCGAAGGCAGGUCUCUGGGCAGUAACUGACGCUGAGGAGCGAAAGCAUGGGUAGCGAACAGGAUUAGAUACCCUGGUAGUCCAUGCCGUCAACGGUGGGCGCUAGGUGUAGGGGGCUUCCACGUCUUCUGUGCCGUAGCUACGCAUUAAGCGCCCCGACACUGGGGAGUACGCCGCA